rnacentral:lncRNA from 1 species
AGAGAGAGAGAGAGGGGACCUAGUGUAUCGGGUGGUUGGGGGGAGGCUUAGGAGGCUUUAAAGCGGACGAACCAACCUGACUACUCGAAUUGUACUAGUUCUUGACCUGUUCAGAUCAAUUAGGCCUUUCUUGAUGUAAACUUAUAUCUUAGUAAUAAGUGAAGCAGUUAUGACUUUACGAAUCACAUUAAUUAAAUCAAUCAAAGGAAUAGCUUUGACUCAUAAUCGUACCCAUAAGAUGUUGAAGAAAUUCAAGUAAUAAAACUGUAAACAUGUUUCAACAUCACAUGAUCUCAAUUUACAUCCGACAAAAACUUACAAAAGCUUGUUCCUCAACUUAAAUAUGCUCGGAAGAUAAAUUUCAUAUAGAACAUAAUAAAAUAAAAACUCAACCUACCAUAGAGAGAUUGUACAUACCCCAAUAGCCCAAAGAAACAACAUUGGUCUUCUCUUGAAUUAUUAUUCAAAUAUUCACAAAAUAUAAUGGAUUUCCCCUAUAUUAUACUAGUUUUUCAAACAUAAUAAAAGGAUAUAUUGAUGUAUAACUAACUCUUAAGAUGUAAGCUUAUUUACAAAGUUAAAAUUUCCUUUUACGAGGUGAUGUGAUUACUUGGGUUUCCGAUGAACAAAUUGUAAUCGCUAGGAGCAUAGUGUAAGCAAAAGUCAUUUCCAUGGAUACCUCUUCUCCUGAGGCUGAGUGGCUUAGGACUCUUAUUGGAAUUUAAUUCCUUCAAUUACUAAAUUUGGCUUGUAUUUUUGUUCAUCGUGUUAUGGCAAAGUUGCUAUUAACUUAUCAAAACAUAAGAAAAAUGAAUAAACACAAACAAGUCAUUUUUGUAGUGCUUAUUUUGCUAGGAAAUAAUAUUUGUCACUGUUUUCGAUUUUUUUUAUCAACCAAUCCAACUAAUCUAUCCUAUCAAUAAAACUAUUUUAUAUCCAAGCAUGUUUAACUUCUUCGGGUUGUUUCCUAGCAAAUGGAAAAUAUUUUCCAUCAAAUUUUGAGAUAGUUUUUCAAAAUCAUAUGAACAAAGGAAGGACUUAAGUGUCUUCCUAUGCCAUUACUAGCAGCACCCAGCAUAGCGAGUAUCAAGCAUGCCAGCCCAUAUUAACCAGCAAUGGCCCAUAUUGAACUACAUUGUUUUCAGGAUGACUCCACUUUCUUGAGGGUUGACGAGACAUGAAACUAAAAGUCAUACUUGGAACUGAUCCAGCCCUAGUGCAACAAACAACAAUCAGAUUUAGUUCAAUUACUAACCAACCCCAUAAAAGCUAAAUACAUGACAAUCAAAAAGGAGUUUCAAGAAGAGGGUCAGAAAUAGGCUUCUUUCAUGGUUUCUUUUUGUAUCUGGUCCAUGAUCACAUCCAAUGCACACACAUUUAAUGUGAUUUAAUUU